rnacentral:lncRNA from 1 species
UGUAGGAUCAUCCUUUGGGAAAAAAUAAUCCAUUAUGACCUGAACUGCUCUAUCAGAGCUAAAACAUGCAUUUCCUGUGUGUCUGUUAAAAGUAUCUAUGGUGCCAGCUUCGAAUUGUACAGUUUUAGAAACGAAUACACUUUACCCCACAGAUCACGAUUACUCUCCACGUCACAAAAUUCCUUCCAUGACCUUAACUUACUAUUACAUAUCUGUUUUUGGUAAAGCCUUUUGGUCAACAUGUAUUUCCUGUGUAAUGCGUCAUGAGUGUGUUGGGUACGACUUAACUGGAACUUUCUGCGUAAAUUGUUGACUAGGUGUCUAUGCGUUGAAUUGUGGAGUCCACCACGGCACACUAUGUUUUUUCUUGUUGUGAAAUGAAA